CCUUACAGAAGCAGGUUCUGCCAGGCUGGGCGUAAUCCAAGACACAAUUGACCUGAUUGGACAACACUUAUGAGUUUCAGGGAAGCAGGCUGGGAUAACUACAAGGCAACUCUCAAUUGUCUUUGAAAGUUGUUCAUGAUUUGGGGAGAUUCCUGGGGACUGGAAGAGAGCAGACAUCACUCCUAUCUUCAAGAAUGUGAUGGGUCCAGUGCUGCACUGUCCAGUACAAGAAGAAUGUGGAUUUAUUGGAGCAAUUUCAUCGAUGAGCCACAAAGAUGUUCUAGGGACUGAAGCAGCAUUCAUGAGAGGACCUCUGGGAGAGGUGGGACUGUUCAGCUUGUAGAAGAAAAUGUUCAGGAGGGUCUUAUCAAUGCGUAAAAAAUGCGUGAAGGGAGGAUGCAAAUAAGAUGGAGCCAGGUUUUCUCAGUGGUACCCAGACAGGACAAGAGGCAACAGGGACAAAAUGAAACACAGGAGGUCCCCUCCUGAACAUCAGGAGACACUUCUUUACCUUGUGGCUGACUGAGCACUGGCACAGGCUGGCCAGAGUUUCCAUCCUUGGAGAUACACAAAACCCAUCUGGAUACAGCUCUGAGCAACCUGCUGUAGGUGACCCGGCUCUGAAUAGUGGGGACGAACUGGACAGUCUCCAGAGGGGCUAUCUCACCUCAGCCAUUUUGUGGUAACUGUGAUCUCUACUUAGUUUACCAGAACAAAGUGACUGGAGCAUUCUGAAGUUUCUUAGACUAUAAGCCUACUUAAUUUAACUAAUUAAUUUUUCUUUUGUUAAAAUUUUCAUGAAGAAGCUAUUAGAUUAGUCUGAUUUUAUUUCUGGCUCUUACUCAGAACUUUGUGAUCCCAUUAGCAGUCAGUUUUUAUGAGGAUGAAAUGUUUUCAAGUGCAGGAUUGAAUAUUUCCAGUGGAAUAUUUUAUGGCAGCUUUUGGUUAGGCAGUCAGAUUCUGUCAGUGGAUAUGCUGAAAGCAAUGAUAAGGAGGAAACCUAGACCCUUGAGUGACUUCACAUACCCUUAAAAUAUGUACCAAUAACAUGAAUAAAGACUUUCAUUAAAUUAAUAUAAAGACUUGUUUAUAGGUAUGUUUUAAGACUGUUUGACACAAAUCAUACUUUUUCAAGAAAAAGAAAAAGAAAAAAAACACAUCAGCAUGCAGAUUUCUCAUUUGCAUAGCAUUAAAAUUUCCAGAGUUGAUAAACUGUAUGCUAUCUGAAUGAUUUUAAGACUGUGAAUGACUUCUCAUUUGGACUUUAUAUUCCUUCCCAAAUUAAUUCUGAGCCUAGUAUUAAAUCCUAUCCCAUAUUAAAUUAAAAAUAAAAUACAGUUUGCCCAACAUAGGAACAUUAAAGGGCCAUUCCAAUGUACUUCUUGGUGUCAGUUGUCACGCGCUCUUGCAGGAAGAGUAGGAAUACAGUUCCAGAUGGCUAUUCACUACUGCUCAAAAGAACAGAGGUCAAGUGCUAAGAGUUCAUAUAGCAGACAGUAUUUUCUAGCAUGUUCAAAGUGGAAAUUGUAUUUUAAAGUAAUUUCAGGACAUCAUUUUUAACACUGCAGUAUAGCAAUAUAUAAAAGCAUAAGCUGUAAGUAUUCUGGACUCAUUUCUCAGCCACUAAAAUGUUAUUUGCUUCCAUUACCUUAAAUUGAAAUAAGCCAGUGGCACUGUCCAUAAAGUAUCUCUCUGUUGUGAGAACAAGUCAUGAAGUGGCAUAGGUACUGAAGAAAAUAAAGGAUGAAUACACUGAGGAGAAGAAACAACAUAUAAGGUUGAAGAAACAAAGUAUGAGGGUGACGCAGACCUUUAAACAAUAUUUUCGUGGUCUAAGCAAUAAUAUACUUCUGUGCAAAAGAUUCCAAGUGAUGCCUGAUUCUAGCUAUUUCUCCUUUCAACAUUUUCUUCUCACAUCUAUAUCACCAGCCCUGAACUCUACUCUUUUUUGAAAAACUCUGCAAUUUUUAGCAACUAAAACAAGUUUUAUGUCAGACUUCUCCAACACCUCAUGGCAACAGUGUGCAUAGGCAAAAAGUCUUUCACUUACAGUCAGUGAUGUUUGAUUUAAUGUGUUAUGGGCAAAGCACUGAUGCAUUAGGGCAUCAGAUCCAUCCCAAAUGAUCUUCCCACUGCAGCUUUUAAACACAUCUCAUGAUUGGACCCUCCAACUUGAAAUUUUUUAGCAUUUCCUUUCAGAUAAGACCCCAAGCUCAUUCUUUCUCACCUGCAGUGGAGGAGUUUCCAAUCAACAAGGGUCUGAAGCCGAACAUGGAAAAGAAAGCAGUAGACCAACUAGCUCCUGCCCCUCUCUCACCUCUCCUCAAAUCUGGGCAAAGGUGUGGGGUCUUCUUCCUCCUCUCCCCAUCACGUGCAUACUGUUCUCCUACCAUGGUGCUUUCUCAAAAAUGCAGUGCAAGCAGCACAAGCAGUUCCCCUUUGCUCCAGCCAGUCAAUGACCACCAAUGUCCCUUCUGACCCAUCACCGCUCUGCCACUCCAUUCCCACAAACACAGCCCAACUGUGCCUUUUUUCUAUGGCUAUAGCCCCACUACCAGGGAUCUUGGAAGUCAGCUCCUACAUCACUUCUCUCCUACUUAUAUGGGCAUUGUGUGUGUUUUCUACAUUUGAGUUGCCUGCAGUUUCUGUGGAGCUGUAAAUUCUCCUCAUUUUCAGUAUGAACAUAAAGGUAACUGCAACAGUGGGGUGAUUAAAGUCUUUAAUGUAUGCCUGUUUAUAUUGUAGUUACAGCUUAAUCUAAUGAAUUCAAUUUUAUUAAAGGUUUUCCCAAUAUAGUGUUUUAAAACAGAAGAGAUUAAAGUAAGUUUAUAUUCAAAUAUUGCUCAUUUCAGUUCUCGUAAAAAUUCUGAGAACAGACUAUGCGUUGAGAAUAAAGAAAUUAAAAGACACUUAAAGGACUAUCAUUGGUUAAAUGCUAUUAAUUUAAAAGUGGAACAACUUUUUUUUUUUUUUAAUUUAGAUAUAAAACCUUGAGGGAAGUCUGUUUACAAGUCUUGCCAAUUUUUAAAUUGUUUUAACAGAUAUUCAGUUAAAAUUCUGUUUUCUUUGCAUCAUAACUCAAUUGAUAUGUGGGAAAUAAUGUAUAUUUCAUUUAAAAAAUGGACUCAAUUUUUUUUUUUUUUGUAGCUCUUGUCACACUUAAAGCAUUGUACAAAUAUUUCCUUUUAGUCUUUACUCUGCAUGACAAAGAUAUGAUAUCACUAAAAAAAAAUCAGAAUGGGACAAUGACAUCACUUGCCAAAGGAGACAUGGCAAUUACUCAUAAGCCACAAUUAAAACCGAGAGUUUUCAGACACCUGUCUCAUAAGCAGUUCACAAUGAAUUUGCUAUUUUGUCUACCACGUAAAAUAAGCUCUGUUAAUUGUUAUUCUAGUAGAGAAAGCAAUGAUGUUUGUUUACUGUGUUUUGAUAGACCACUUGAAAGUGGCAGUGAGAAUCUAAAAGAAACAUUAUAACAAACUUAUUGCAUAAUUCAUUAUUUGUAUUCUAAUAUCUCUGUCCCACCACCCAUCUGCCAUCAUUGAUAAUUGCUAAAUGGGAAACCACUGCUGUACUUUGUGGUGAAACCUGCUCAAGCACUCCUGACGUUGUGGCUGGUGCUGGUUCUGGCACUGAGCUGGUUCACCCUGCAGCCUUGGCCUUGGCAAACAAAAUAAACUGUAUGCCGAACUACGUAGUUAACAAUAAAGUUGUAUGUACAGAAUGGAGGUUUGUUUCUUGGAAGCAGUGACGUCAGAAUGUUUCAUGGUUUUGAGCAGAAACCUGACUCAUUCUGAAUUCCUAUUACCAUGAGUUGGCAGAUUGAGACAUUGGCUGUAUUGUUGUGGGAGUCCAGGCUGGGAGUAGGAAUAUAGCAUGCUUUAUAGCAUUGCUAUAACCAAUUUAAGAAAAUAUAUCUUGAGAUGGUAGUCAAAAAUGAUGUGCAAAAAUUGGGAAUGAUGAAGAAAAUGGAUGCAAAGAUCAGGAAUGAAAAUAACACCAUCCUUUGAAAAACCUUUGUGCGCAGUCAGUCUUUUUUAUCCCUUGCACCGGAACAGUGCUUAAGAGUCUCAGUUUUCAGUUUACAAAUAAAUAAACAAUAUGUUGUGGUGAUAGCCUUGAAAACAUAAAUCAAUUGUAAACUGAUCUAGUGAUGCUUUCCAGACCUUAAAGGCAUCAUGGGGUGAUUGCUGAGGAAUGUGAAGUGCCCUACACAUAUUAAUGAACUGUUAAUUCAAACCUAAAAAUGACAGCCUGUGGCACAUUGGAUACUGAAGCAGCCCAGGCAGUAUGAAAUAAAUACAAUAUCAGACACGCUAUAUAAAUCAUGCUGUGCACAACAGUAUACAUUGUUGUAUUUCAUCAGAUGAAAUAAUCCUUAAAAAUAAAUAUUUACUGCCAUAAAAUUUCUGCUGCAGUUUCACAAAAUGUAAGGAGCUUGACUCAGAUCAUGCUUCUAAGGCAGAUAAAUCUGGGCUGCAGUAAGUGAGCGAAUCUUCCAUCAAAGCUGCCCUAACUUUAGCAACAUCAUAAAGAGUGACAAGCUGCAGAAUGAGCCUGUCAGAAGACGAGUGUAUUUAUUAAAACAUGUAAUUUAACCCUGAAUUUAGAUGCUGCAUAAGACUGGUGUAGUUUGAAUUCAGUGGGGCAGAAGUGCCUGUAAGAGAAAAACCAUGAUGAGGGUGGCUAAUUAAAGUUCUAAGAGAACAGAUUUUGACUUACACUAUCCCAUAAUUUGCUUUUCCUUUAAUGACUCCCCUCUGUCUCCUAUACAUGUAAAUUACACUGUCUGAACAUCCGCUGAAUGUCAAUUUGUCUAUUUUUUGUUGUUGUUGUUACUUCCAUUCUCUUUCAUCCAUUUUCUUAUCCUCAAAGCCAUUGGAAAACUUGUUGAUAUUCAUUUUUCUGUUACAGGAUGUUGUUUGGUCCAAUACAUAUUGAUCAAAAAUCUGAUAUUAAAUCAGGCAGUAGUAAUUUCUAUUGGCAUUUUAUACUUAAAACACAUUAAAAGAUGUAUCAUAUUAUACUUUUAAAAUUCUUGAUAUUAGCUUCGAAAAGAAAAUUUAUCAGGGCCUAAAUAAAAUAAAUAAGACAACUGAACUGUCCUGAUUGGUUUUUCUUUUUUAUGUUUUUAUCACUAUUUUCUCACCCCAAACUUGAAAAGAAAACAAUUCAUAAUCUGAAUUUUUCAUUGUAUAUUUAAGUUUGAUAAAUGUGGGACAUCUCUCCACAACUGUGCAUGCAUCUACGGUAAGCUGCCUGGUAAACAUUCCAUAGCUGUGACUGUGUGUUUGCUUAUAAGUUUACAAAAGCCUUAUUUUUCCCUAUUACAUGAAGAAAGGGUGUGAGAAGUCAAGAUAAAAAGUUAUCUGCAAUCAGGGUUAAUCACUUUCUUGUUGAAACUGAAGCAGGAUUUGAAUUUCUUCCUAAAAUAUUCUUGUUCUGAAAGAUUCUGUAGCUUUCCAAGUAUUUCUUAGAUUUGAUGUGAAUAAUUUUAGAUAAACACUCCUAGCUAAAUACGUACUGAAAGGACUAUAAAAUGAAUGGAUUUUAUCGUUGCUAGAGAAGGACUGAGGGUGACCUAUUUUGUAUCUUAUCUAUCCUUCACCCAAAGGCCUGUGAAUCUGCCCUCGUCCUGACCUCUCAGUAGUUGGCUGGGGCAAUAAUUCCAGGAACUUAUUUAUAUGGUUUAGAAGCUAAGGCUUAUAGUAAGAAUUUUUCAGCAUAUUAUCUUGAACCUAAAGCAAUUUUUUUUUUUUUUUUUUGCCUGGGUUUUUAAGAUCUGAAAGAUACUACUCGCCCUGUUUUAGUGGAUGACAGUCUAAGUCUACUUGUCUGCAUAUCUCCUCUAAGAGCCAAAAUAUCACAGUUAGAGGAGGAACUCAAUUUAUAUGAAUGUCCUGUAGUCUCCUACUUGCUCUGCACCUACCUCCUGGAGGAGAAUAGGGGAUGUAGUCAGAUUAUAGGGAUAAGGGAAAUACAGUAGGAUAGUUUCAGUUUUUAAUGUAUUUUUUCUUUAUGACUUCUGCUCUUUGGAAAAAGAGGAUUGUCUUAGCUUCAAAUGGCCUUUCAAAUUGUCUUUGAACAAAAGAGUACGCAUCUGAUAAAGUUAUUAUAUCUUUGUAUCUACUAUGAGCUGGGAGUGCUCCAUCAUGUCUUAGGUAAAGCUGGGUACAUUGUAUUGGCUUCCUGCAAUGGAAAAAAAAAAACAGUGUUUUUGCAUCUAAUCUGUAGAAAGGUGCAUCAAAAGGGCUGGACUGAAAAACAGGACUAAGUGCAAUAGUGUGAAAAAUUGUCUCUGGCUGGAAGGAGAACAGUAGAAGAACAAGUCAUUCAGGAGGAGUUCAACCUUUCUUUUAUGUGAGUUAAGCAACAAAUAUUUUCAAAUGCAAAGCAGAUAAAACAGAAUCUUUUUGCACGUAUCCUUAGCCAUAAAUGUUAAACCGAGAAGGCUAAAACAGCCUAAGCAACACUGUUUUCUGGAAGUUUGUGUUUGGGUGACUUGGCUGCUUCAUUUUUCAGUGUAAAAGGUAAGGAUGCAAGCAAAUGUAAUGCAUUAUGGCAAUCUAUAGUGCAUCUCUAUCUACCUCUAACUUCAUUUCCCUAUUCACUGCACGUUUACGGUGUGCCUUCUAGAGAGCUGAAGUGGAAACCAGACAACUCUCAGGUUUGAUAGUAAUAAUAGGAAAGGGCAAAUUUGUAUUGCAGUGAAAGAAUGAUAAAAAACAGUGAGGUGAUAAGAACAAGAUUGGAAGGCGAAGUGUCUCUGGAGAGGAAACUCAAUGGAAGAACCUGAGCAGCACAGAGGCCUGAAGUGAGCCUGAAGCAGUGCUUGGGCUCUCUUGAAGCUCUUAAGGAUUACAGUUUUGAGGUGAUGCUGUAGCUGCCCUUCCUGACAGUAACCUGGUAACCAGUGGCAAGGAGUGCUCAGCAGAGGGUCUCACGAAGGCAUUCUCAGUGUCUGAAAAAAGUGCACAUAUGUAACUAAUGUGAACUACUUCCAAAAUUGACAGUGUAUGUAUCCUUAAAUCUUUAUUUUCUAUGCCUUUCAUAAAUACACUGUGAAAAGUUUGCCGUGUUUUUUUUCCUGAUUAGGGGUGGCGUUUGCAACUUUUAAAACUACCGUCUUCUCACGGGAAAUUCUGAGAACAUUUUGUGUAGAAAUAAUUCCGUUUCUAGUGCAUAUAUGUUUUUUUAUCGCUUUUCCCUAUUGAUUACUAGACAUAUUUGCAUUAAAAUGCACACAUAGGAACCUAUCUGCGACUGCUGCUUUUUCCUGACUUGAAAUCAAAAUCCCAGAGGAAAAAUAUGUACUCCUAAGCAACAGAAAUUUUCAUAUGAGUUUUUUUUUUUUUUUUUUAAUAAAAACACUAAGAGAAAAAAAAACCCUGAAAAUAUUGCUUUUGGAAAAGACUUUUUACUAAUGGCUUCCAUAAGUUCUUAAUAUAAUAAACAUGCUUUUAAAGCUCUCUCCUAAUUUAGUUGCAACUGAUGCAGUUUAAUGCAGAAAAAUUGAUAGCCUGUCCCACAUUAGUAUUGCUGUGUUCUGUUCUGGAAGUCUUGCUCUACUUGCCAAGAUGCUCUUGAAAUUAAAUUUUUCUACUACAUUUAAAGCUGGUCAAAAGAAUUAUUUCAAAAAACUGCCCAUGCUGUGUACAUAAAUGGAGCUAUGUUUCAUGAAUAUUUCCCAUGAUGUAUCUUUAGUAUUCUCCUGUAACCCAUAAAAGAAUGCCAUUAAAUUGAUGUACAAUCAUUUUCUUGUUUGAUUGUCCUCUAUUUAUUUUGCUUUUGUUUCUUUAAUAAUCACCAGCAAAACAGGAAACUCCUAACUAUCCAAGGAUUGUCAGAUCUUUUUGCCUUGUCCUCCUCACCAGGUCUGUUUGUUUGUUUUUCUAACCCUAAACUGCAACAUUCUUCUUUGUGGUCCUGGGCACAAAAGGAGGUGAAAAAACUCCAUCCUGAAGGCACCUAAGGUUUUAAAAAGAGGGUUAGACAAUGUAUUAUUUCAUUUACCUUACAUUUUACACAUGCAGAGAUGAGUUUAAGAAGCUGUUCCUCUUCCUCUACUCAAGCUUUUAUAUGAUUUCUCUGUCAGUCCAUCCUCAGGGCUGUCUCCCAGGCACAAUUAGAGGACAAAGUGCAAAUGCUGCCUUCUGACAGUGUGCGUGAUGGGGGAAUAAGCACUGGGUUGGCACAAGAUCUCCGGUGAACUUCUAUUGAUUAGAAAUGAAAGCUGAAUCACUGUAAUACUCAGUAAAUAUCACUGACGCUGAGACUACUGAGUUGUAAUCUCAGCAGAUAUCUCAGAUGUCUUGGAAAAAAGCAAGAGGAGUGAUAAUUACAAUUAAGCCCUUUUUGAGUUUAUUUCUAGAAAUAUGAAGUAAGAGCUAUUGGAAAUAAUCUAGCUGCUAAUGUCAGGUGACAUCUUAAGCUGAUAAUCAGAGUGAUAGGAAUACGGAAUGUCAGUAAUUUUCUCUAAGUUAUUUAUACAAUUAUUCAGCCUGCCCACCAAUGUGUAGCUAAUGAAACUAGUCUAUGUCAGCCUCUUGAACUGCUAAAAAUGGCCAUUGUGCCAUCCACUUUUCCUCCUAAAUUCUAUGACUUCCCGUGGAUACUUCUGUGUGUACCUCAGCUGUUAACAGUAACUGAGGCUGAAACUGUCACCUUGCAAAGAGGCACCUGUACACCAGAACGUGGAAAAGUAUUGAAGUUGUCUUCUAAUUAGUACCUCUGAUGCAACUGCUCUAAAGCUGUCUUAUGACAACUAAAUUAAAUUUUCUAUUUCUGAGGACAAUAUUCUAGUACUCCUAACACUUGGGAACUCUACUGGUACUCUUCUUUCCGAUGAAUUCUAACAGGAACAUUGAUUCUUUUAGUUCUGCUUACUAUCAAAUUAUCCAGACAGAUUUAAUAUGAUUAUUCAUUCUACCUUAAUCAAAGUGUACUUACAUUUUUCAGUUGGAUAUAGUGAUAAGGAAAUCUUAAUCUGAUGAAUCUCUCUAAGAGUACAGUAUGUUAUCUUUGUCCAUUCAGGUGAGUAAUAAUAGGCAUUUCUGUACCUCAAUCUUCAGUUUAUGGCCAAUUGUCACUAUCUAUAGAUAAUAUGAACUCAUAUUAUUUUUAUCGAAACAGAAUUUCCACAUUUUAAGUUUGGUAGCUUAGAAAACUCAUUAGCAAUUUCACAAAUUUAUCCAAAAUUUUAUGAACAAGAAGUAGACUAUGUAGUUCUCACCAUUAGGCAAAUAUCUGGUAACCUUGAUGUGCAUCUUGUGCUCUACUACCAGUAAAAACAUAAAACCUACAGUGCAGAUUUUUUUCAAAAGCUCUUACAAAAUUUCUAUCGCACACAGACGUCCACUACAGCUGCACAAGGAAGAUGUCCACAAGAGAUCUUUUCCAUAAAAGUUUUGUUCACAGCUCACAAGUUCGCCCUACACUAGCCGCAGGGCUCAUUUUGCCAGAAUGUAAUCAUUUAAAGUGGUCUUUAAUCACUGUAAGCACUAAUCUAAAUUAAGAAGUUGAGAUUUACAAAGAUACUUUUCUCUCUUCAUGACAUAAAUACAUAAUCCUUUGAUGGUUAAUAUCAGAUGGGAAAGAACAUAUGAUUUCUGCCAUUAAAUGUGAUUUGGAGAGUUUUUUGUCAAAUGAUAUCAUCUAUUUUGUAGUCGUAGGAGGAUCUCUCAUUCUUUGUGCAUUACAAUUAAGAGAACAUAAUAAAAUAUUAAUUCUCUGAUAGCAUAACAAUAUGCAAGAUUCAAAGUCAAAUCAGAAGUACACACUACUGACUUUGUUGAUUUCUGGUACAAUCUGAGUGCUAAUACAGUGCAGUAUAAGUCCACUAAACAUGAUAAACGGCAAAGUUAUGAAAGCAAGUCUAGGUUGUGUUUGUUAAUCAAUACAGCAUAGAAUCAGAAUUAUCCACACUUCUUAUGUGGUAGGCAAAAAAUGAUCUAAUUUCUAAAUUAUGAGGAAAAAAGCAAAAACAAAAACAAAGCAGAAAUAAAAGUUGCCAGAUCAAACUUGAA